UACGUAGGGGGCAAGCGUUGUCCGGAUUUAUUGGGCGUAAAGAGCGUGUAGGCGGCCAGACAGGUCAGCUGUGAAAACUCGAGGCUCAACCUCGAGACGUCGGUUGAAACCGUCUGGCUAGAGUCCGGAAGAGGAGAGUGGAAUUCCUGGUGUAGCGGUGAAAUGCGCAGAUAUCAGGAAGAACACCCGUGGCUAAGGCGGCUCUCUAGUACGUGACUGACGCUGAGACGCGAAAGCGUGGGGAGCAAACAGG
rnacentral:rRNA from 1 species